rnacentral:misc_RNA from 1 species
GAAAUGCGAUAAGUAAUGUGAAUUGCAGAAUUCAGUGAAUCAUCGAAUCUUUGAACGCACAUUGCGCCCGCCCGUAUUCUGGCGGGCAUGCCUGUUCGAGCGUCAUUACAACCCUCAGGCCCCCGGGCCUGGCGUUGGGGAUCGGCGGAAGCCCCCUGCGGGCACAACGCCGUCCCCCAAAUACAGUGGCGGUCCCGCCGCAGCUUCCAUUGCGUAGUAGCUAACACCUCGCAACUGGAGAGCGGCGCGGCCACGCCGUAAAACACCCAACUUCUGAAUGUUGACCUCGAAUCAGGUAGGAAUACCCGCUGAACUUAAGC